AUAUAUAUAUAUAUAUAUAUAUUAUAGGGUUUUACUUCAUGUAAGGUAAAUGUGGGACACCUUUAUUUUAAAGACACGUUGUACAGAAGUGUGUUUGCAUGCUGUUACCUAUAGGCCAGUGUCAUGCACUCGAACAGGCGCGUGAGCGUUGGGUCGAUGCUCAGUCUGCCGGAGCUGAACGGCCCGAAGCUGUAGGUCUGACAGCGCGGUUUAUUCACCGUGUCGAAGUCGUAAUAACUUCUACUUCUGCGCGG